CUGACCGAGCUAGCGCCCCUCCCCCUGGCCGCUUCUACUUAUACCAGGAAGCUUUCCGUGCCGGGCUUUGACUCCCACUUUCACCUUUUGUUGUUGUUCUUUUUCACUUUUUAAACAUUUCUCUAGUUUCUAUAGCAUCGAACUCCUUUAGAUUUCUGAUAGGAUUUAUUUCCCUCUAUCGUUUAGCCGAAGUCCGACCAACUC
rnacentral:lncRNA from 1 species